rnacentral:rRNA from 1 species
UACAGAGGGGGCAAGCGUUGUUCGGAAUUACUGGGCGUAAAGCGUGCGCAGGCGGUUUUGUAAGCCAGAUGUGAAAUCCCCGGGCUCAACCUGGGAAUGGCAUUUGGGACUGCAAGGCUGGAGUUUGGCAGAGGAGACUGGAAUUCCUGGUGUAGCAGUGAAAUGCGUAGAUAUCAGGAGGAAUACCGAUGGCGAAGGCAGGUCUCUGGGCUAUAACUGACGCUCAUGCACGAAAGCGUGGGGAGCAAACAGG